AGUAAAAGCCCCGAGUAGGAAGCCAGCAACGCCGACAUAUUUAUUGUGGAGUGAAUAGGUACAAAUUGAAGUAAAAAAUUACACUCCUCAACAAGACUUUGUUCCUGGCAAUCAAAUCGCUCUAUUCUGAUGGCUUAUAUCCUCAUUUUAAACCUUGUAGGAAUAAGAAGGGGCGACUCCAGCGAUGUCGCAGAAGUCUGAAAAGCUUCGCUUUGCAACCUAUCCGACAUGCUUCACUUGACGAGAUGGGGAUAUACAAGUCGAGAGUUGUUAUAAAGUUGAGGAAUCUCUUUACUUGGUGGUCAUUUAUAGCCAAGCCAAAUACAAAUACAAGUUGAAUUAAUUGCAGCGUGUGAAAGCAGUAGCACAUUCACGUAAUGUGCCACCAUCUUUGCAAUGCAAAACACUUCUUUGAGCCAGCUACGGAUAGGCGAAAGAUCGCAAUGUAUGCAAGUCCUUCCUGAUCAUGUGAACAAUAGUUAAUUUAAUCUACAGUCAGUUUUUCAAGACAGUACCUACCACCGAGGAUUGGACAAUUGAUCUGAUUCACUAUGUUCUUUUUUGCAGAAAUGCACAUUUGAAUACCUUCCUUUUACAUUUUUUGGCGAACUCUGUGAUGUAGUUGGUCUCUGGAAUUCAAUUGAAAUACCUUCCUUUAUUCAUGAUUUAUUGCUUUCAAUGCGUCAAUAUCUUUAAUUCAAUUCUGCCUCUUGUUACCAACGAAGAAGGAGACAAGUUCGGAAAAUCUGCUGGCGAUGGUAUUUGGCUGGACGAAGAAAAAACGUCGCCUUUUUCUCUUUAUCAAUUCUUUUUGAAAAUGCCAGAUUCUGAAGUCGAGAAUCUUCUCAAGUUGUUCACGUUGUUCAAGUUGUUUUAUCCCACUGGAAGAAAUUGCAUUUCUCAUUUAACAACACAAAAAAUCACAAACGAUUCUAGCUGAAGAUGUGACGCUUCUAGUCCAUUGAGAGGCGGGUCUAAAACAGGCAAUCCUAUCGUUAAGAUUUUUCCAGAGCCUGGACUAUCCAAUCUUGAUCUGGCACUAAAAGCUUAAUGAUUUACAACAGAGACUGAUACGAUGAGAAUCAUCACAGCUGGAGGGUUCUAUAUCAAGCAAUAGCGCCCUCAAAACUUCGCACUAACAUCACACUAACUCAUCAGCACUAACAUCACAUACCAUUUCUAUCUAUUAGUUCAAAAUGUUAAAUGUCUCCUUUUUGUUGGCAAUGAUGAGCAUAUGGAUAAAAACAAUUUGUUUUCAUUAAUAAUAAUAUUGUAUUCUUUUUUUUUAUAAAAAAAAAAUAA